rnacentral:lncRNA from 1 species
UGAUAAUUUUUCGUAACUUCAAAUGUUAUAACUUUUCCAAUUCUUAUCAAAAUGUAUACAAUUUGGUAUAAAAACAAAGAUAUGAAAAAGACAAGGCCCUUACAACACCCAGUAAUAUGUUACGAAUGUAUAUUUGUUAAUGAAAGUUUUUGUGUUUUUUAUGUGUUUUGUUAAUGAAAGUUUUUGUGUUUUUUAUUGAAAUUUUGGAUUUUUAUUUGCAAUUUUUUAUAUUCUAACAGACAAUCAUUAAAUAUGAUAGAUAAACAAGUAGAAAAGAAUAUAGUAAUACAUAAUACUCUCCUCAUAUGUAAUACUCUCCUUAAACGUAAAUCAAAUUGUUUAAACCGGAUAUGAUGAUUAAAUGUUGUAUCGGCAUGGUUUUAUCUGUCUACUUUGCUUUUCCAAUUUGGUUGCCAGCUUCAACCUAAUUCUUGAUUUAAAACUAUGAUUUUGAACUAAAACAUUUCCGUGUUGAAUAAAAUACUAUUUAUACUUAACUGAAUUUUUUUGGAGGCUUCAGUUUUCAAAUGUUGGUGGUAAUUUUAGUUAUGCCACUGUGAAAGCGUCGAUUGUUAAGUAGACAUAAAAAGUUUGAAGUAUGCACAAAGCCUAAAAGUGUCAAAUAUGGAACCUAAAAAAACCUGCUUUUGCCACUAACUAUAUAAAGGUUUUUUAAGGUCUGUUUGUCAAGCGUCAAGUCAAGUUAUCUUGCUACUGGUACCAUGUAGUACAUCCUGCUUAAGCAGGUUGUACGCCAUCCAUACGACGUUUGGGCAUCUGUUUGUAAAAUAUUGCUGCAAAUCUUUUUUAGAGAGCCAUUACUAUGGAAAACCAUCUAAACCAUACAAGUGUGGAAACAUGGAUCAAAACAUACCUGGCCCGCAUUUGAUGCUGAAAAACGUUCUUUUUGGACCAAAUGCUGGCUGGGUAAUUUGGACUUGUAAAUGAACUUAUAUUCAUAAUUUUUAAACUGCUUAUGAUCUGAUCUGAUUUUAUUUUUGUCAUUUGUUUAUUUAGAUUAAUGUAAAAUAAACUGAAAAGUUUAUUUAACUUAGCUGGUAAAACAAAGAGUUUUCGUGAAACAAAUUAAAUGAAGACAGUUAUAGAAUGAAGUUCAUUCAUUUGCUGGCAACAUUUUUAAACGUGGUCCAGAUCGAAAAAAUUUGUUGGUAGAAAUUGUCGAUAGUGGAAGUGAUAGAUGCAUCGAACCUUAUUUGUAAUUAAUUUCUGUAAAUAAAUUUCACUUUACUAA